CGACCUGCACGAAUGGCGUAACGACUUCCCCGCUGUCUCCAGUGUAGACUCAGCGAAAUUGAAUUCUCCGUGAAGAUGCGGAGUUCCCGCGGUCAGACGGAAAGACCCCGUGCACCUUUACUACAGCUUGACAGUGGUAUUAGCGGUAAAUUGUGUAGGAUAGGUGGGAGGCUAUGAAACCAGGGCGCCAGUUCUGGUGGAGCCAUCCUUGAAAUACCACCCUAUUUAUUGUUGAUAUCUAACCGCGGUCCAUGAACCUGGAUCCGGGACCCUGUCUGGUGGGUAGUUUGACUGGGCCGGUCGCCUCCCAAAGAGUAACG
rnacentral:rRNA from 13 species